CCUACGGGAGGCAGCAGUGGGGGAUAUUGCACAAUGGGGGAGACGCUGAUGCAGCGACGCCGCGUGAGUGAAGAAGGAUUUCGGUAUGGAAAGCUUUAUCAGCCGGGGAGCAAAAAGACGGUACCUGACUAAGAAGCGCCGGCGAACUACGGGCCAGCAGCCGCGGUAAUACGGAGGGGGCGCGGGUUAACCGGAUUUACUGGGUGUAAAGGGAGCGUAGACGGCAAUACAAGUCGGAGGUGAAAUACCCGGGCUCAACCUGGGAACUGCUUUUGAAACUGUAUGGCUAGAGUGCGGGAGAGGUAAGCGGAAUGCGUGGUGUAGCGGUGAAAUGCGUAGAUAUUAGGCAGAACACCAGUGGCGAAGGCAGCUUACCGGACCGUAACUGACGUUGAGGCUCGAAAGCGUGGGUAUCGAACAGGAUUAGAUACCCGAGUAGUC
rnacentral:rRNA from 1 species